GAUGAACGCUAGCUACAGGCUUAACACAUGCAAGUCGAGGGGCAGCAUGAACUUAGCUUGCUAAGUUUGAUGGCGACCGGCGCACGGGUGAGUAACGCGUAUCCAACCUGCCCUUGUCCAUCGGAUAACCCGUCGAAAGGCGGACUAACACGGUAUGCAGUCCACAGCAGGCAUCUAACGUGGACGAAAUGUGAAGGAGAAGGAUGGGGAUGCGUCUGAUUAGCUUGUUGGCGGGGUAACGGCCCACCAAGGCGACGAUCAGUAGGGGUUCUGAGAGGAAGGUCCCCGACAUUGGAACUGAGACACGGUCCAAACGCCUACGGGAGGCAGCAGUGAGGAAUAUUGGUCAAUGGACGGAAGUCUGAACCAGCCAAGUAGCGUGCAGGAUGACGGCCCUAUGGGUUGUAAACUGCUUUUAUAUGGGGAUAAAGUGAGUCACGUGUGGCUUAUUGCAGGUACCAUAUGAAUAAGGACCGGCUAAUUCCGUGCCAGCCGCCGCAGUAA
rnacentral:rRNA from 1 species